rnacentral:rRNA from 1 species
CUGUCAGGACGAACGCUGGCGGCGUGCCUAAUACAUGCAAGUCGUACGCUUCUUUUUCCACCGGAGCUUGCUCCACCGGAAAAAGAAGAGUGGCGAACGGGUGAGUAACACGUGGGUAACCUGCCCAUCAGAAGGGGAUAACACUUGGAAACAGGUGCUAAUACCGUAUAACAAUCGAAACCGCAUGGUUUUGAUUUGAAAGGCGCUUUCGGGUGUCGCUGAUGGAUGGACCCGCGGUGCAUUAGCUAGUUGGUGAGGUAACGGCUCACCAAGGCCACGAUGCAUAGCCGACCUGAGAGGGUGAUCGGCCACAUUGGGACUGAGACACGGCCCAAACUCCUACGGGAGGCAGCAGUAGGGAAUUUUCGGCAAUGGACGAAAGUCUGACCGAGCAACGCCGCGUGAGUGAAGAAGGUUUUCGGAUCGUAAAACUCUGUUGUUAGAGAAGAACAAGGAUGAGAGUAACUGUUCAUCCCUUGACGGUAUCUAACCAGAAAGCCACGGCUAACUACGUGCCAGCAGCCGCGGUAAUACGUAGGUGGCAAGCGUUGUCCGGAUUUAUUGGGCGUAAAGCGAGCGCAGGCGGUUUCUUAAGUCUGAUGUGAAAGCCCCCGGCUCAACCGGGGAGGGUCAUUGGAAACUGGGAGACUUGAGUGCAGAAGAGGAGAGUGGAAUUCCAUGUGUAGCGGUGAAAUGCGUAGAUAUAUGGAGGAACACCAGUGGCGAAGGCGGCUCUCUGGUCUGUAACUGACGCUGAGGCUCGAAAGCGUGGGGAGCAAACAGGAUUAGAUACCCUGGUAGUCCACGCCGUAAACGAUGAGUGCUAAGUGUUGGAGGGUUUCCGCCCUUCAGUGCUGCAGCUAACGCAUUAAGCAUUCCGCCCUGGGAUGCCCAGCC